UUUUACAAAGAGUUUGAUUUUAUUGAUAUUUAAAUAUAUUAAAUAUUUCACUGAAAUACAUGGUUCACCAUCCUCCCCCACCCCCACAGUGGUUACAUUAUAAAACCAAAGCCCACGGCCUCCCACCUCCUGACUCCUCUACCAACUGGGUGAGGAAAGGGACAAUGGUAGCCCAGGGGAAGGGCAUGGCUGGCACUGUGGUACGGGGAUCCAGGGUGUGGACAGGCCCUCCCACCUGGCAAGAAGCAGAGACAAGCCACCCAAGGCUGAGGCACCAACAAAUUCAGGCCAGAGUCAAGGAGGUUGCAGGGAAAGGGGUAAAAGGAAGGCAAAGACAGGAAGGGAAUCUAGAGUUCAACCUCCUAACCCUUCUGCCAGCCCUCAAGGCUUCACAAGGGACUGGGGAGCUAGAAACAUGCUAGACUCAGGCUGAAGGCUGGGGAAAGCCAAGUUUAAGGUUCCUCUUCCCCACCCCGUAGUACCAGUAUCCAGGUCCUCAGAGGGAUUCCAUGCUACCCCAGCCCCAAAGCAUACCAUGUCCCAGGACACUAUCUGGGGAAGCCAGGAAAUUCCUCAGCCUCUGUCCAUCAAACCCCAGACAGUUCAAGUGCUGGCAUGGAGCACUGGGGCUUAAGCAAGCGCUUGGGUCCCUGCCACAGACAGGGAGAGUCAUGCUGCACACAUGGCCCCCGAACGGCACUUAGGGAUUUGGC
ensembl:lncRNA novel transcript, antisense to ADCY6